rnacentral:lncRNA from 1 species
UUUGGAUGCAACAGAAUCCAGCUUGCUUGACUGAGCUCUUAAAGUAUCUCACAAAACGAAGAAUAAAUGGAGAAAAGACCCCCUGCUGGACAUGGAGAACCCUGGAGUUUUUUCUACCUACUACCCUGCCUUUUAACUUUACAAGAUACCAAAUCCAGAGAAGAAGGCAAAGAUUACUCACAGCCAGACAUCCCAGGACCCAAGGAUUAGAACUAAAAGCAUAGAUGAAAAAGGAUAACUGGACCAAUGGAGCUCCAAAAGACAGGUUUCGGAGUUCAGGGAUUGAAAGAAAGAGGUGAGCUCCAGGCUGCAGUGCAGAGCAAAGGUGAAGGGCUUUGGCAGAUUGCUAGGAGCGAGUGUUCAGAGUUAUACGUGACUUAUUUUGCUUUUAGGUCCCAUCCAGGGCCCCAUACAGGAGCAGAGACAAAGAUGGGAGGGUUCAUUUAAAAGAAUGGAAUGGAUACCUUUAAACUCCUGCCAAAGAACAGAUUUUAUUUGAUUUUUUUAACUGAUACACAUUUUUUUUUUUAAGUGAGGAAAUCUAAGUCAGAAGUUAAGAGCUCUAAUGAUUAAUUCAUAUGCAUGGACUUGUGAGAAGAAGUGUGAGGAAGCUUGAGAAACCCCGAGUGACGUAGAGCACCUGGUAGGAGUCACUGCGGACACUCCUUGUUUAAUGACCAUCUGGACUUAUGACCAGCCCCUCAGACUUAAGA